rnacentral:rRNA from 1 species
CAGGGAUUGCCUCAGUAACGGCGAGUGAAGCGGCAAGAGCUCAAAUUUGAAAUCUGGCCCCUUUGGGGUCCGAGUUGUAAUUUGCAGAGGAUGCUUCGGGUGCGGUCCCCGUCUAAGUGCCGUGGAACGGGCCGUCAUAGAGGGUGAGAAUCCCGUCUGGGAUGGGCGGCCGCGCCCGUGUGAAGCUCCUUCGACGAGUCGAGUUGUUUGGGAAUGCAGCUCUAAGCGGGUGGUAAAUUUCAUCUAAAGCUAAAUACUGGCCGGAGACCGAUAGCGCACAAGUAGAGUGAUCGAAAGAUGAAAAGCACUUUGAAAAGAGAGUUAAACAGCACGUGAAAUUGUUGAAAGGGAAGCGUUGUCCACCAGACUCGCCCGGGGGGGUUCAGCCGGCACGUGUGCCGGUGUACUCCUCUCCGGGCGGGCCAGCAUCGGUUUGGGCGGCUGGUGAAAGGCCCCGGGAAUGUGCCACCCUUCGGGGUGCCUUAUAGCCCGGGGUGCCAUACAGCCAGCCUGGACCGAGGCCCGCGCUUCGGCGAGGAUGCUGGCGUAAUGGUGGUCAACGGCCCGUCUUGAAACACGGACCAAGGAGUCUAACAUCUAUGCGAGUGUUCGGGUGUCAAACCCGUCCGCGCAGUGAAAGCGAACGGAGGUGGGAGCCCCUCGGGGCGCACCAUCGACCGAUCCUGAUGUCUUCGGAUGGAUUUGAGUAAGAGCAUAGCUGUUGGGACCCGAAAGAUGGUGAACUAUGCCUGAAUAGGGCGAAGCCAGAGGAAACUCUGGUGGAGGCUCGCAGCGGUUCUGACGUGCAAAUCGAUCGUCAAAUUUGGGUAUAGGGGCGAAAGACUAAUCG